rnacentral:rRNA from 1 species
AGCAAUCCAUGAGUAAAGUGGCGACCGGGUGAGUAGCACGUGACUAACCUACCUUUCAGUGGGGAAUAACCUCGGGAAACCGGGGCUAAUACCGCAUAACGUCUUCGGACCAAAGGAGCAAUUCGCUGGAAGAGGGGGUCGCGGCCGAUUAGCUAGUUGGUGGGGUAACGGCCCACCAAGGCAAUGAUCGGUAGCCGGCCUGAGAGGGCGCACGGCCACACUGGAACUGAAACACGGUCCAG